CGGAGCUUGCUCCAUCGAAAGAGAAAGAGUGGCGGACGGGUGAGUAACACGUGGGUAACCUGCCCAUCAGAGGGGGAUAACACUUGGAAACAGGUGCUAAUACCGCAUAAUUCCAGUGACCGCAUGGUCGCCGGAUAAAAGACGCUUCGGUGUCACUGGUGGAUGGACCCGCGCUGCAUUAGUUAGUUGGUGGGGUAACGGCCUACCAAGACCGUGAUGCAUAGCCGACCUGAGAGGGUGAUCGGCCACACUGGGACUGAGACACGGCCCAGACUCCUACGGGAGGCAGCAGUAGGGAAUCUUCGGCAAUGGACGGAAGUCUGACCGAGCAACGCCGCGUGAGUGAAGAAGGUUUUCGGAUCGUAAAACUCUGUUGUUAGAGAAGAACAAGUGGGAGAGUAACUGUUCUCACCUUGACGGUAUCUAACCAGAAAGCCACGGCUAACUACGUGCCAGCAGCCGCGGUAAUACGUAGGUGGCAAGCGUUGUCCGGAUUUAUUGGGCGUAAAGCGAGCGCAGGCGGUUUCUUAAGUCUGAUGUGAAAGCCCCCGGCUUAACCGGGGAGGGUCAUUGGAAACUGGGAGACUUGAGUGCAGAAGAGGAGAGUGGAAUUCCAUGUGUAGCGGUGAAAUGCGUAAAUAUAUGGAGGAACACC
rnacentral:rRNA from 1 species